rnacentral:tRNA from 1 species
CGCGAUAUUGGCAUACGCAACGCGGCCGCUGGUAUCGGUCAGCACCAAGGCCACCGGCGUGUUCUGCACCACGGUAUCGAGC